CCCUAUUAUAAUUAAUAUAAAUUUAAUUUUAAGUAGUAAAUGGUUUGGGCAGGAAACUUAAAGAAUUUGGCGGUGUAUAUUCUAAUUAGAGGAAUAUGUUUUUUAAUUGAUAAUCCACACUUAUUUUACUUAAAAUAAUUUAUUUUGUAUAUCUCCGUCUUUAAAAAAUUUUUUAAAAUAUUUUUUGGAAUUUGUAGUAUAAAAAAAGUCAGGUCAAGGUGCAGAUUAUGUUUAAGUUAAAAUGUAUUACAUUAAAUUUAUUUAUGGAAUAAAAAUGAAAUGUUUUUAUGAAAUUGGAUUUAUAAGUAAAAUUUUUUUUAUAAUAAUUAUUUGAAUAAUGUAAAUAUAUAUGCACACAUC
rnacentral:rRNA from 1 species